GUUGUUCGGAAUCACUGGGCGUAAAGGGCGUGUAGGCGGUCAGGUAAGUGAGACGUGAAAUGCCCCGGCUCACCCGGGGACCUGCGUCUCAUACUGCUUGGCUUGAGUACGGGAGAGGAUGUGGGAAUUCCUGGUGUAGCGGUGAAAUGCGUAGAUAUCAGGAGGAACACCGGUGGCGAAGGCGGCAUCCUGGACCGGCAUUGACGCUGAACAGCGAAAGCCAGGGGAGCAAACGGG
rnacentral:rRNA from 1 species